rnacentral:rRNA from 1 species
CGGUAUCCUUUCAUCCAUAGCGUAUACUAAAGUUGUUGCAGUUAAAACGCUCGUAGUUGGAUUUCUGCGGGAGCGGGGCGGCACACCCGCUAUGCGGGUCGUAGCUAGCACUUCUCCUGCAUCCUGCCGCGAACCGUGCUACCAUUAGUUUGGUGGCGCCGGGGAUCGGCUCGUUUACUUUGAGAAAAAUAGAGUGUUCAAAGCAGGCCACACGCCUUGAAUAAGUUAGCAUGGAAUAAUGAUUAAGGACUUCGGUUCUAUUUUGUUGGUGUUCGGGACUGAAGUAAUGAUUGAUAGGGACAGUUGGGGCGGUCUGUAUUCCAAAGCGAAAGGUGAAAUUCUUAGACCUUCGGAAGACAAACAGCUGCGAAAGCGUUCCGCAAGGAUGUUCCCUUUGAUCAAGAACGAAAGUUGGGGGAUCGAAGACGAUCAGAUACCGUCGUAGUCUCAACUAUAAACUAUACCAGCUAGGGAUCGGCCAACGUUUCUUUAUACCGACUUGGUCGGCACCUUAUGAGAAAUCAAAGCAUCUGGGUUCCGGGGGGAGUAUGGUCGCAAGGUUGAAACUUAAAGGAAUUGACGGAAGGGCACCCCCAGCCGUGGAGCCUGCGGCUUAAUUUGACUCAUCACGGGAAUACUUAACAGGUCCAGACAUAGUAAGGAUUGACAGAGUGUUAGCUCUUUCUAGAUUCUGUGGGUGGUGGAGCAUGUCCGUUCUUAGUUGGUGGAGUGAUUAGUCUGGUUAAUUCCGUUAACGAACGAGACCCCAGCCUGCUAAAUAGCGCGGCUGAGCUUUGCUCGGCACGAGCUUCUUAGAGGGAAUAUGAUGCGCGAUAGCACAUGGAAGUUUGGGGCAAUAACAGGUCUGUGAUGACCUUAGAUGUUCUGGGCCGCACGCGGGCUACACUGGCGCCUGCAUCGAGCAUAUCAGCUGGCCCGAGAGGGUCUUGGCUAAUCUUUUGAACCGGCGCCGUGCUUGGGAUUGACCUUUGCAAUUGUUGGUCAUGCAACGAGGAAUGCCUUGUAAACGCGAGUCAUCAGCUCGCAUUGAAUAAGUCCCUGCCCCUUGUACACACCGCCC